UUUUAAUAUAUUUUUAAAUAAAAAUCACUUUAAAAUAUAAUUAUUACCACAUUCUUGAUCACCUCACCAUAUCCGGGUAGUUGUGAACACUAUUGUCUUUUGCCUUUACAUGUAAAUGAAACUCAACUCAACUCAGUGGCCAACAAAAAUGUGUCUCGCUGUUAACAGGAGCACGGAAGCACCUGGGAUAGUAUGCACAUCAAAACAAAGCAAUGACAUCCUCAGCACGCAUGAUCCAUAUACCUUUCUUUGCUAGUGAGUCCGUGACACCAUUAACUUGUCUUUUCUUGUGAAUGAAGAUGACAGCCUAUACCUUCUUGAUCGACGGAGAAAUUUCAUUGAGAAUUUGCUGUACCUUCCUCGGUUUUGUCAAACCCAGUAAGUAGUAUCCACCGAGUGAUUUGAUUCAAUUAUUCAACUGACUUGAUUGCACUGAAAGAUGUCCACUAAUCUCCAAGAUUUUCCUGAGAGGAAGAACCCCAGCCUCGUUAAUAUGAUCCCAAAAUCUCAACAGGACCCGGGAAGGUAGAUGCAGAAGUCCUUAACUGAUCAAAACUAUUACUGAUGGAUCAAAACGAAGGUGGCUUCAUAGAAUUUUGGAAAUCUUCUUUGAUGAAUUAAGGAAAUCUGAAGUGUAAACACGAGAGGCAGAUCAUACAUGUAAUUUAUAAAGAAAAUUCAAUUAGGUUUAUGUAUUAUCCCGCAGAUAGUACACAUAUUUUAAUUGAAAAUAUUGAUGCCUUAACAAGAGCAUUAUUGUGUUUGUUUUUUACUCAUUCUUUGACGUAACAUGAGUUUGUUUGCAAGCAUAAAGAAAAUCACAAGUAAACAAAUAACCCUUAUAAAAUACCAAGAAAAGGGUGGAGAGGAGACAGCAUUCAUAAAAGCAAAGAGAGCAAAGAAGCGUGACGUGGAGGUGUAGAACCCGGUUCCCGCAAGCAACGGCCUAGAUUCUCUCUCAGUCACCCCCACCCCAGUAUACUCCUCCUCCCGUUAAUUAUCUUCUCUCAUUUCCUUCCAUUAUCCCUCGCACCAUACCAAUAGAUUAGCAUCUCUUUCUCUCUGAAUAGUGAAAGAAGGGAACAAAGAGAGAGACGGUAUGUCACUAGGGAAGCGUCCAAGGGGACCCAUGAGAAGAACAACAAGCAUGACUGGUAUUGCCGUUGAUCUUCCGAGCAACGUGGGCGCCGGUUCAUCUGAGCCUUCUGAUGAUACUACCCAGAAUCAUCAAAUGAUCAUCAAGGGUCUCCAUGCAACUGCAGGACUCGAAGAAGGGUCUCUUGAUUAUCACAACAAAAACAACAUGAUGGAUACUUCUUGUGGUGAGAAUACUAGUGGAUUCUUGCACGAUCAACCUUUCUUGGCCUCCGUGUUGUCACCAAGAAACCACCAUAAGAGCAGUGGCUCUGGUAAUCAUUUUGUGGAGGAUUCUCAUUUCUUGCGGACCUGUGGCCUUUGUAAACGCCGGUUGGCUCCUGGGAAAGAUUUAUACAUGUACAGGUAUGUUUACAUACAUAUAUAUAUUUUCGAAUUAUUUCUUAGAUUUUUUUUGUCUUCUUGAAGGGAUUUUUUUUUUCCAGUCGUGCCUUUUCUUUUGUUUUCAUUAAUUCGGAAGGAUUUUUAGCUUGGAAGCUUGGUGGACAUGUAAAGAUCUACCUAUGACCGUAUAUUGUUAUUUUGCUUCGUGAAUGAUGAGAAAUGAAGAUUUUAGCAAAAAGAAAAUGUUAUGUAAUGAAGUAAAAUUUAUCACUAGCUUCCACUUCUAGCAAAAGAAAAUCAUUUUCUAUUGACUCAAGAAAAAAAAAAACGAUAUCUUCUACGAUAAUAUUACAUCCUAUUUUGUUCAAUUAUGAUCUAGUGUAUUUUAUUCAACUGAAUGCUGAAGUUUGUUGUUAGAUUCUUUAAUUCGUGUUUUCUUUGUUGUUAGAUUCUUUAAUUCGUGUUUUCUUUAUAUAUAUAUAUAUAUAUAUAUAUAUAUAAGAUCCGAAACUGAUCUCCUCAUAUUUUUUCCCUUCUUAGUCUCAAUUGAUUUGCAAAUUCAACUCUUCAAAUUUUGAUAUAUUUUCUCUCCUCCUUGUCUUCAAAUUUUGAUAUUUUUUCUCUCCUCCUUGUACUAUACUAUAUAUAUAAGCCAAAGAUUUUAUCAAUUAGCAAGGAUGAAGAUGAUUGGAUGAUUCUUUUCUUCUUCUUCUUCUUCUUCAAUGAAGUGCUUAAUUGUAUUAAGUACUUUCUUUUUUUCUAUAUGAUAAUAUUGCAGGGGAGAUACGGCAUUCUGCAGUCAAGAGUGCAGAGCACAGCAGAUGAAACAAGACGAGAGAAAAGAAAACCGCAACGUUAUGAUAACAUCAAAGAAAGGAGAACGCCAUGCAUCAGCAUCCACCACAAGCUCCAAGUCUUCUCGUAAAAGUGAAACUGUGGCUGCUGCUUGACUUGUAGCUAGACUACUACUGCUUUUUAAGAGACAAAAGAUCAUGUGUCAUAAAUGACAACACAACGUUGUAGAAUUUCCUGGGAGAGAUAUAAUUAUUCCAUUACCCAAUCUCCUCUACUAUUAAUGAUCAGACAAAAUGUAUUUUACAUGAUGGCCUGCACUACAAUAUGAGGAAAACAAUAUUACAACUAAUUAUUAUGUAAAAUAUGUUGAAAAUCAUUUCAGAAAAAAAAAUAUAUUUAGAAAAUGAAUGUGGCUACAGUUAUUGUAUUGAGAUGCCAAUGGGACUUGUUCUUUGUCCGCUGGGAAUAUUUUUAAUCCCACCUCCUCUUUCAUUAAAUUUAUGUCCUUUGCACUUUCAUUUUGGGUUUGUAUCUAAUUAGAAGACUUGUUCUGUUAUAUAUAUAUAGCAAAAUUAUAAAUAAUAUUUUUCGUAUGACUAUUAUAUGGAAAAAGAGAAGCUAAUUAGAUUAGUAGUUCCUUUUAACAAUUAAAACAAAUUAUUUAUUUUAACCGGAGUUUUCACUAAACUAACCGUGGACGAUCAUCUAACCUUUACGUACCACAUUAAUUAGUAAAAAAAAAUCAAUAGAAUUGUAUCUAUCUUUAAUAACUUUCCAUUUAAAAAUUUUAAGUAAUUGAUAGGGAAGUUAAAAAUAUUUGUUUAUUUAUUUAACUUAAUGAAUUUGAAUCUUAGAUCUAGGGAGGAAACUUAGUUAAUUGAUUGACAUUAAGAUAUAUUGUUGAACUUAGUUAAUUGAUUGACAUCAAGAUAUAUAUAUCAUGGCCCAUGCUGCGCGGUGUUGUGGCUUAAAACAAUUUUUUAAAUAUAAAAAAAUAUUCAAGCGUUCUUAAUGUAUAUAUUCUACUAAAAAAAUAAUUAUAAACUCAAAAUAUAAUAUAUAUUAGAUAAUAUCAUUUUUUAAAUAUUGAUAUAAUGAUAUACUAGAUCACUACCAGAAUUCUAAAAAAUACCGAUGGAAUUUUCCGUUGGUAUUUAUACUCCCAUUCCGUUGGUAAUAAAUUUACCAAUUGGCUCAUGGACAGAAAUUCUUUGUUGGUAAAACUUUCGUCAGUAAUUUUUGAUCUGUCUGUGAUUUUGUCGAUAAUCAAAGCGCACAAAAAAAAUUACUCCCUUCAUGUUGUUGGUAUUUCCCUCGAUAAUUUUUCCAUAUAAUCGAUAAAAAUACCGUAUGCAAUUUUAUCGGUGAUCAAACAGUGACACAAUGACAUUUGCAGUAAUUCUUUUUCAACUUUCUAGAAUAUACCGACAUCAGUAUUUAUACUCUCAUUCUGUCAAUAAUACCAUUAGUAAUUAUUUAAAAAUAUUUUUAAAAAAUCUAUUUAACUGAAGUAGAAAAUAAUUAAAUUAAUAUAAAUCAACAUUCCAUAAUAUUCAAGAACUGAGUUGCUUGGAAAAAAAAAAAAAGAAAAUCAACUCAAACAAAUUUGCAACAAAUAAAUAACAAAAAAAAAACAAAAAAACAAAUAAAUAAAUCAACUAAAAAUAAUUUCCACCGAACCUACAAAACCUAUUUCAGAACCCAUAAUCUAGCAACAAAUAAAAUAAUUUAAUUGAAAUUGAACGGCAAAAUUAAAAAAAAAAUCCAACUAAAAUCCAUCAAAAUUGAUCUCAUAUAUAUAAAAAAAAUCCUAAAACAACAUUCAUACAAUUAUCAAGAACAAAAAAAAUAAAAAACAAAUAUAAUGCAAAAAAAAAAAACACUAAAAAAGAAGAAAAAAGAAAAAUCUAACUUUGAUGUAAUUACGAGUGAAGUUGAGAAGAGAAAAAAAAACAAAUUCAUAAAGUAUGUUAAUUAAAAAAAUUUGAGAAGAGAAAAGAAGAAGAGAGGAGAAGACAUAUUUGUGCAUGGAAGAGAAGAGAAUGAGUUAAGGAGAAAAGACAGAAAAAAAGUGACGUUGAUGUUUUUUACAAUGAGAGGAAGAAAAAGGAGAGACGUGUUUGUUAUGACAUGAGAGAUUCUAGUUUUUUUAUUGGAAUAUUUUAUUGAUGGUUUUACCAAUAGAUAAUUAAAUAUUAGAAUUUUUAUCCAUUAUGUCGGUAAUUCUGUCUGUAAUAUUUAUUUAAAAUUUAAUUUAAUAAAAAAAUUUUAGAAACCCUUCAAAUCAAAUAUCACUGAUAACUUUUCAAUUUGUCGGUGAUUCCGUUUGUAAUAUUUAAUUUAAAUUUUUAAUCUAAUCAAAAAAUUUUAGAAACCCUCCAAAUAUCAUCGAUAACUUUUUAAUCCAUCGAUGAUUUUAUUUGUAAAAAACAAAAAUUAAUAAUAUAAUUAAAAAAUGAACAGUUUUAGAGCUUUUUGAAAAAUACAGACAUAAUUAAUCUGUCAGAUAAGCUUUAUAAUUGACAUAAUAAGCCGUGAUAUAUAUAUAUAUACACCAAAUUUUAGCUAAUUUCAAUGAGCUAUGUAUAAUGGAUCAUAGUAUAAUAGAUACAAUACUAAUAAUACAAUAGAUAACUAGACCUAGCUAAGUCUAGAGAUAGGUUUCUUCAUAUUGUUUCAAUAAAUACACACGAGACGUUUUAAAUUUUUUGCUAAUUAGUACUUAGCUUUUUUUAAAUCCAGUGAGAGGUGCUCGUUGUCGACAAUAAAAACAAAAGGGUAAUUAUAAAAUGAAAAGACUGCUGUAAUUUUUGUAAGUGUUUGAAAAUACGGUUUAAAUUAUAUUUUUUUAAUUUAAAAAAAUUAUUUUUAUUUAAAAUUAAUUUUUUUUAAUGAUUUUAGAUCGUUUUGAUCGAGUGGAAAAUAUUUUAAAACGCUGUUUAGAAUGCAAGUUUAACUAAAUUUUGAAUAUUUUUUUGUAUUUUUUUUUUGUUUUUAUAGUUUAAUAUCAAAAAUAAUUUAAAAAAAUUAAAAAAAAUAUUAUUUUAAUAAAUUUUUAAAUAAAACAAAUUAAAAAAACAACCCCUCAGCACUCCACGCUCUAAUUAUACCUAACUUUCAUUAUCAAUUGAAAAUUUGUUACAAUAAAAAGCACAGAUCUGUCAUCUGGUGGUUGGUGUUCCAAUUAAAGUUGAAAGAGACUCAUUUGGAGCUGAUCGAUUGAUUGAUAGAAAUGGGCUGUAAUGCUGCUGCUAUGGUGUCCUUGACAAAUCACAUACUCUUGGUGGGACCACGCACUUUGGGAUAUACGUGUCCAUAUACCACCCGUAGAAAAUAGCCCCUAUUUAUUUUCUCAUUGAUUUUUGAGGAUCCAGACUGCCUUCUGGAAUAUUCAAGAGCACGGAUCUCACCGUCCAAUGAAUUUACUACUAGUGGUCCAAUUGUAGCCAAUCAUCAUCACCAUUGAAGAUUCCUUGGACAACCGUACGAAGAUAUAAUUACUUAGAUGUGAUUCCAUUGUUUUUUUUUUUUUUCAUUUGGAAUUAUAUUGUUUGUUUUUACAUUUUUUUACGUUUUUAAAAUACUUUUAAAAAAAUUUAAAUUUUUUUUAAUUUUUUUUGCUUUAAAUUAAUAUUUUUUUUAUGUUUUUAGAUCAUUUUGAUGCGCUGAUAUCAAAAAUAAUUUUAAAAAAUAAAAAAAUAUUAUUUUAAUACAUUUCUGAGUGAAAAACACUUUAAAAAACAAUCGCAACCACACUCACCAAACAAUGAUAAAUUUAUUAGGGGUAUUUUAUGAUCGACAAUCCGGACAGGUCAAAUAUACAAUGUUAUAAAACCAGAUUAAUUUAUUUUAAAUUUUUUGAAUGAUUUUAUAGACUCGGUUCUACAUAGGUGUCAUUUGAUUUUGUAACCAUAUGAGAUUUGAAAAUUAUGAUUGGAAAAUAUUAUUUUGUUGUUUUAAUUAUUUUUCUAGUUAGUUUAGAUUUAAUUAUUUUUUUCUACUUAACUUUGAAUUUUCUUGGUUAUAUUGGUUUUAAUUUCUAUAUGAAUAAUAGACGUGUUAUUUUUUAUUAGAUUAUUGAAUUUAUUCAGAGUUUUCCCUCUAUGAUUUUAGGACUUAAAAACCUUGGUUUUAUUAUUACUAUAUAUUGCGUCAACAUUCAUCUUUGUGACUUUAAAUAUCAAAGUUUUCCCUACUUAUUUUUUAGGCCUAUAAUAUAGAUGUUUUAUGUAAAAUAAAAUAAAUAUUUUUAUAGAUCAGAUGAGAUUUAAAGGAAGAAAAAACUAUUAUUUAAUUAUUUGUUGUGCAGCUAGAUGUGCAAGUCUUUAAUAAUAUUAACGAUAGAAUAAAAGCCGAAUGAAUUUGAAAGGAAACAAUAUUAGAAAUAGUCUCUUGUCAUAAAACUAAACAAAAGCUUUAGUUCAAGGUUCUUCAUUAAUCUCCUCUAGAUUUCAGGUAUACUGUUGAUUAGUUUAAAGAUAACCAUUUCGGGAAUAUUUAAAAAUAUAAUAAUGGUUAUUUUUGAAAGUGUUUUUUAUUCAGGAAUACAUCAAGAUAAUAAUUUUUAUCUUUUAAAAAUUAUUUUUGAUAUCACCUCAUCAAAAUAAUUCAAAAAUAUAAAAAAAAUAAUUUUAAAUAAUUUUUUUAUACAACUUCCGUUGAAACACAAUACCAAAUAAAUGAUCAACUUCAGGGGUUUAAUUGCAGUUGCUUUUCAAAGUGUUUUUCACUAAAAAAAUACAUUAAAAUACUAUCUUUUUAUUUUUAAAAAUUAUUUUUGACAUCAUCGCAUCAAAAUAAUUUGAAAACACCAAAAAAAAUUAAAUCGAAGCAAAGAAAAAAAAUAAAAAAAUAUCAAAUUAUUUUAAAGUAUUUUUGAAACGUAAAAACAAGCCGGAUCUACUACGACUCCUCACGCGCAACAGUGUCAUUAGAUUAUCACCCAUUAUUGUUUAUUGUUGACAAGCUUCGAAGAACAGCUAGUAAUGUAAAACACCUAUAAGAAAACAAUAUGAACUGAUUUCAAAUCAUAAUUUUUUUUUUAAGGUCGAAGGACUCAAUCAAUAAUCAGUGAACUGCCAGUUGUCAUGUAAUUUAUCAACAAAAAUAUGAUUUCAAUAUGUAUUAUCUCCCCAACACAACUUGCCUCAGAGGUCAUAUCAUACUUCUAAAUUACUAAAAAUAUCAGAUGAUUUCUCUUGCGGCUAAUAUUAAAAUGCUACCAAAUCUUGAACAGCGAAGCUGGAAAGAUUUGCUGUGAGAAUUAGUCAAUGGCUCUGUGAUUGGUUCAUCGGCUGCCCAUUAACGCAAGAACUUGCAAAAAACAAUUCUCAUGACUAUUGUUUUUCCUUUACUUGUUCAACUCCAACUGUAAAUACUUUACCUGUCAUCACAGUUAAUUUUAUAAUUAACAAUCCUAGUUCAUCUAUGCGCACCAUAUGUAGAUAAGAACAUGUAUGUUUCUGGAUCAAAUUAAUGAAUGUUUAGGUGCCGUAAAUGUGUUUUGAAGUAGGGGAAAAAAUAACUUGGGUUAUAUACUUAAUAACUAGAUCAAAUAAUUUAAUUUAAUUUUAAUUAGAUGAUAAAAAAGCAAGGAUUAAUUAAAAAAAUAAUUAUGAUAACUUGGGGAAAAAAACUUUUAUUGUAAAUUUUGAAACUCAAUCAACGUAGCCCAACUUAUAUACCUUAUAGUCUUUUUAUUUUUAUAUUUGAUAAUUUAUGAAUUUGAUAUUUUUUUUAUUUUCAUUAAAAAUAUUUUGGCUUUGAAAUUCUUGUUAGUGAGCUUCUUAUAAGAUUUCUUUAAUGUAACAAACAAUGGUGUGUCUCUUUGCUGAAGGGGAGGGGGAGGUAAUUAAAAUUUAAUGGUAGUGCAAAGUAUGAAAUUACACUUAAUAUUAGAGCUUUCAUGGCAUUUACCGUCCAUGUUGAAGGUCUGUCUCUAAAUGCGGACUCAUAAAAUAUAUCAAUAUAAGCUAAACUCGUGGAUAUGUAUAAUAUCUAUAAAAAUUUGGCCUAACUUGAUAUAUCCAAUCCGCUUAGAUCCAAAAAAAUUAAAUGAAUUGAGUUUAUAAUUUGAAAAAUAUCAGAAGUUAGAUUAGAUAUAAUUACAUGCCCAAACCCGAACCAACUAUAUCUAUAAAAACUCCUAAUUUGGCUUGUGUUUUUAGCACACAUGGAUCAAUAAAAUUAUGUAUUCUCCUCAUAAUUAUAAGUUUGCUUGAUCUUUGGAAGUUUUAACUUGUAAUAAACCCAUAAAUUUUACAGGGUUUUAAAAUUUUAACAAACCCCACAAGGAUUUUAGCUUAUAAAAACCUCGUUUAUCUUGGCUGUAUCAUGUGGUUUCAGUGGUCAAAAUUUUAGACUUGUAAUUUGUAGCUAUAAAAAUUCUUCCGCCUUGGAGGUAUGAAAUGGAACCAUCCAUUUGGCGGCCCAACUACUGGAGUACAGUGUUGUAGGCCUUGGACGCCGCAUUUGGACAGGCUAUUCAAGGCCUUUUCGAAGAACAAGAAAAAAAGUAUUUUUAAAAAAAAUGGAGAUGCGGGGUAUCGAUCCCCGUACCUCUCGCAUGCUAAGCGAGCGCUCUACCAUCUGAGCUACAUCCCCAAUCUUAUAUGCGCUCGCCAAAGGUAUAUUAAUAACGUUAUAUUAUGAUUCACCUUCUGCACAGACAUGGAAGGAGUAAUGAAAGGAUUAAAGCGUUAACAUUUUUUUGGGCAUAAUCAUAAUCCUAGAGCCCCUGUUUUCAUAAUAGAAUCAGCUUCAUUUUCUUCUUGUUUUUUUUUUUUUUAAAUAUCGUUCAAGUACAUAUCUUAGCCCUAAUCCUUUAUAAAGAAAGGAUUAGGGCUAAGAUUAUGAUUAUCCUUUAGGCCCUCUUCGAAUUGUAAGCUCAUAUAAAAUGUGAUGGAUAUUCAAAAACAUAUUGGACAUAUCGUAACAGUUAUACUUACAUGAGUUGAUGAUGAUCAGUGCUGGCACCGGAGCCCCUUCAUGAUCUUGUUUGAUACUGUAUGAGAUUUCAUGAAAAACGGCUAUCUUUGGGUUAUAGAUUAUCCCAAAUCCUCGUAUCCAACGAGGAGAAUCAUCUCCCUCGAUAGCUUUUUUUUGGAAGACAUCACUUCUGUUUCAAGAAGAUAUCGUAAGACCAAUCCUUUCCAAUUUUUUCAAAGAUAUUGCUAGGCGUUACCCCAUGGAUAACGAAUCAAGAAAUUGAGAGGGAAAGAAACAGAGAGAGUUGAAUCGUUCCUCUGUUCUGUAAGAAUCAUGAUCUGGUGCAGAAAAUUUAUACAGGCCCACGGCAUUAUCUCCAACAGUCUAGGCCACCCACCUGCCCUCUUGAGGUUUGCAGGCAACAUGAAAAUAAUCACACAAUCCAAAAC
rnacentral:lncRNA from 1 species